GAUGAAGAACGUAGCGAAAUGCGAUAAGUAAUGUGAAUUGCAGAAUUCAGUGAAUCAUCGAAUCUUUGAACGCACAUUGCGCCCCCUGGUAUUCCGGGGGGCAUGCCUGUUCGAGCGUCAUUUCACCACUCAAGCCUCGCUUGGUAUUGGGCAACGCGGUCCGCCGCGUGCCUCAAAUCGACCGGCUGGGUCUUCUGUCCCCUAAGCGUUGUGGAAACUUUCGCUAAAGGGUGUUCGGGAGGCUACGCCGUAAAACAACCCCAUUUCUAAGGUUGACCUCGGAUCAGGUAGGGAUACCCGCUGAACUUAAGCAUACAAUAAGCGGAGGA
rnacentral:misc_RNA from 1 species